CGACAGAACACCACCUCUGCUGUGACGCGUUCAAAGUUUCUAUUCUCCAUCCACUCUUUAAGUUUCGUUUUCUGCCUGAUGAAACUGGCUCAGCUGUGAGUGUCGCCACCGUCAGUGCAGAGAUGUUGUCCUGGGAGAGCAGAGCGCGCGGGGCUUCAGGUUAAAAGACGGUACUUUUGUCUCACGGGACGGGGACGGGGUGACCCUCUUAGCCCUGGGGAGCAACCACAGUCCCGUCACGGAUCUGUGCGUGGGACACCGGCUGCUCUCGUACGUCAGAGGGGACGGGAGCGCGUUCAUCAUCCGCAGUAACCGGGGCAGCGACGGGACAUGGGUCAGAGGGAAACAGAAGCGUGUGGAGUGGAAGGAGAAGGUCCGGUCCGUGAGCUGCACAGAGGACACGCUCGUCCUGCUGUCCAAUCACGGACAUGUGUUCUGUGUCCUGCCUCACGUCAAGCCGAGACCAUUUGAAGUUUUCCGCGGUGUGUCAGUCACGCAGAUCUCGUGUGGGAGCCAGCAUUGCCUCGCCCUGACUAAAGGUGUGUGAAGAGUUGGAACAUUAGCA
rnacentral:lncRNA from 1 species